UACGUAGGGUGCAAGCGUUGUCCGGAAUUAUUGGGCGUAAAGAGCUCGUAGGCGGUCUGUCGCGUCGGAUGUGAAAAUCCAGGGCUCAACCCUGGACCUGCAUUCGAUACGGGCAGACUAGAGUUCGGUAGGGGAGACUGGAAUUCCUGGUGUAGCGGUGAAAUGCGCAGAUAUCGGGAAGAACACCCGUGGCGAAGGCGGCUCUCUGGGACGGUACUGACGCUGAGACGCGAAAGCGUGGGGAGCGAACAGG
rnacentral:rRNA from 1 species